rnacentral:lncRNA from 1 species
UGGGCGACUCGUAUCCUGAAGAUCAAGUCUUAAGGUGCAUCCAAAUUGGUCUUUUAUGUGUGCAAGAAUCUGCGAUGGACCGACCAUCAAUGUCUAAUGUUGUUUUCAUGUUGAGUAAUGACACAACUCUUCCAUCUCCUAAGCAACCUGCGUUUAUUCUGAAGAAGAGUUACAAUAGUGGAGAUCCAUCAACUAGUGAAGGAUCGCAUUCUAUAAAUGAAGUGACUAUCACCAUGCUUAGACCUCGGUAGAGGCUUACAUAUAUCAGACGUACUGCAUUCAUAUGUUAAUUAAUGUUUGAUACUGUAAUAGUUUUUAUGAUUAUGGUUUAAAAUAUUAAGUUUAAAGUGGAAUUCAAGAAAAAUUAAUUAUAAUGUAUGUUAAUUAACUAAAUAUUUAUAAAACUUUAAUAAAAGUAAAAUAUAGUUUCGAUCACACCAUACUAUUAUACCAAAUGGAUCCUAGUAGAAGUAUCAUGGUAGUGAAAUAUUAUUUAUUACAUUUCUAAGCAUGUGGAACCAAGUAAUGUAGUUAUUCUUUCAUUAACCAACAAUGUAGAUAAAAAUGUCUCAAUAGUCUCUCAAUUUAAUAGUCUCUCAAUUUAAAUCCUCUUCAUUAAGAAUGCUACGUUCUUCACAAAUCUACUCAUUCAACAAUUCAAUUUUAUCAAGGUUAAUGAGAUUUUAAGUAUCUUUUAUUUCGCUUAAAUUCCUACAAAGUACAAACAUAAAAGAAAACAACAUGAUUGUCAUAUAUAUUAAUGAUAAAUUCAAUUUUUGAAAAUAAUAUAUUUACAAAGUAGUUAUAAAAGGUUUAGACAAGAUCUAUUUGCAAUACUAGGUCAGUAAUCCUGCCGAUCGUAAUAUAUUCUUGCGCAAGAACCUGCAUGAAGACCAAAAACAUUUAUUUUUCAUGGAGGGACAAGAUGAGGUAAGGAGAUUAGAUAGUAAGCACAAAAUGAUUGCAUGAAAAAUUAUAAAGUUGUUAUAAUUAUGAGAAACUUAUUGCAUUAAAGCAUUAUUCCUAAAUGUCUUAGUCAAUGUUCAUUGAGACUUGACAUUAAUUAGAGUUAUUGAGAUCGAUGCAUAUUAUGUUUCUUUCUUUAUGAAAGGAAGCAGUUGCUCUCAUAAACUAAGGUAUGAAAGAUGCCUAUAACUAAUAUAUAAGUGCUUAUCACAUGACAUGUACAAUGAACUGACUUGUAAGAGAAUUUUAUAUGGGGAGAUCACUUAUGCCUAUGGAAAGGUUCACGUGAUAAUUAUGUAAGUGAUCUCUAGACUAGAGAUCAUUAAUUUAUCAUAUAUUGAGAGUGUUAUGCUUUGAUCCUGACCACAUAUUAUCCUAAUCAAGGAUAACAGAUAGGCAAAUAUUAUGUAUGACAUAAAAUACUAUAUGAAGGUAUUUAAAUAAUAAAGAGAAGAUUCACCACUCUAGGUGAAUUAGAGAAAAUAAUAUAUAUGUUCUCAAAUAGUAUUAAUUGUGAAAUCCUUGAUCAAGAUGGAAUGAGUUUUGAAAAAAAUUUCAAAAUUUUACUCAAAUAAUUAAUGACUAUAAUGUUGAGAACUAAUAUGAUUUAACAAAGCAGAAUAGUUCAUGUUAUAAUAUCUAAAUCGAAACAUUCAUGAUAAAUUAAUAAUAAUUACACUGAGAAACUAAUCACUGAAAUGUUAAGUCAAACCACUUAUGAUUUUUUUUAACAUUUGAUAGAUCAUUAUAGGUUAUUAAACAUUGUAUUUUAUUUUUAAAUAUAACUCAAUUAAUUUUUAAAGUGAUAAUAAAUUAAAUUGUAUAAUUUAAUUAAUCUUGUUUUAUUUUGGUCUGCACCUACUGACCAGUGUGACAAUUAUGGACGAUGUGGAGCUUAUGGUAAGUGUGAUCCUUAUGAUGCUUAUGACUUUGAGUGUACGUGCCUCCCUGGCUAACAGCCCAAAUCAAUUACUGAUUGGUACCUCAGAGAUGGGUCAGGUGGAUGCAUCCAGAAGAAUCUCACAGGAAUGUGCAACAAUGGUGAAGGGUUCGUCAAGGUGGAAAACGUGAAGGUACCAGAUCCUUCAACUGCCCGUGUGGAUAACAAUUUGGAUCUGAAAGCUUGCAUGGAGCAAUGCUUGAGGAAUUGUUCCUGCACAGCCUACGCAAGUUCAGUUGUGACAAGUAAGAGUGGGUGCUUCUCAUGGUAUGGCAAUUUGCUUGAUACAAGAGUGUUCGCUGAGGGAGGACAGGAUUUAUAUGUCCGUGUGGAUGCGUUUGAGUUAGGUACCUUCAAAUCUUAUUGUCAUUAUAUAUCUUUGCUGCAUUUUCAACAACAGCUUAAUCUUCAAUAUGUCUUAGAUACAGGAUUUUCAGAACAAAAAUAUAGACAUCUGAAAUAAAAAUUAUGGGUACAAGUACAACGGAAGUACCAGAGACAUUUCUAAUAUGGCUAAGCCCUCCCCUGCACUCACCUACUAUCUUUCUGCGAUAUGCACCAUUACUGAUAAUCCUGAUGAUUUGGUAUCAAGCUAAUGUGGAUUUCUUUCUUUCUCCAGCUCAAUAUGACAAGAAGUCUAGAGGUUUUCUUUCAAAGAAAGGGAUGUUAGCCGGUUUGGUACUCUCUAUAGCUGCUGGGGUUUUCUUUGUCAUUAUGUUCUCAUUCUGGUUGAAAAAAAGGAAGAAGACGGGUAAGAGAUUAUUUUUUCAACCUUGUUACCAAUAUAAGUGACACCAAGUUAGUUGAACUAAAGAAUUCCAACUUUAAGUCUAUGCAUAUAGGAGAUGAUAGUCUGCAAAAUGCAGUGUGUAAUCAACAUUAGCACUUGUUAGUACUUUUAAAAGCUGAUUAUUGAGUUCUUUCAACGAUAAACACAGCUAAGGGCAGACAACUCAAAUUUCCCUUCAAUAUCCCUACAAGCCUCAAUGGCUCUCUAAGUGGAAAGGAAGUUGGUGGAAGUACAAGUCAAUACCUACCAGUCUUCGACAUAGAUAUCAUAUUAGCAGCCACAGAGAAUUUCUCCAACGAGCUUGGAUAUGGCAGUUUUGGCUCAGUUUACAAGGUUCUUUUCCUUGGAAUUUCUUUAGGUUUGGGAUCUAUGGAGAGAAGGCAGGGCCCUGGAACUAGUGGAUACAUUGAUGGGCGACUCGUAUCCUGAAGAUCAAGUCUUAAGGUGCAUCCAAAUUGGUCUUUUAUGUGUGCAUGAAUCUGCGAUGGACCGACCAUCAAUGUCUAAUGUUGUUUUCAUGUUGAGUAAUGACACAACUCUUCCAUCUCCUAAGCAACCUGCGUUUAUUCAGAAGAAGAGUUACAAUAGUGGAGAUCCAUCAACUAGUGAAGGA